UAGAUCUCGAUAAUAAUACAGUGUGCGGC
rnacentral:piRNA from 1 species